GUGGGGAAUAUUGGACAAUGGGCGAAAGCCUGAUCCAGCAAUGCCGCGUGAGUGAUGAAGGCCCUAGGGUUGUAAAGCUCUUUUACCCGGGAUGAUAAUGACAGUACCGGGAGAAUAAGCUCCGGCUAACUUCGUGCCAGCAGCCGCGGUAAUACGAGGGGAGCUAGCGUUGUUCGGAAUUACUGGGCGUAAAGCGCGCGUAGGCGGUUUUUUAAGUCAGAGGUGAAAGCCCGGGGCUCAACCCCGGAAUUGCCUUUGAAACUGGAAAACUAGAAUCUUGGAGAGGUCAGUGGAAUGCCGAGUGUAGAGGUGAAAUUCGUAGAUAUUCGGAAGAACACCAGUGGCGAAGGCGACUGACUGGACAAGUAUUGACGCUGAGGUGCGAAAGCGUGGGGAGCAAACAGGAUUAGAUACCCGAGUAGUCC
rnacentral:rRNA from 1 species